CCCUUAGAUGUUCUGGGCCGCACGCGCGCUACACUGACGAAGUCAGCGAGCAUGUCCUACGCCGACAGGUGCGGGGAAUCUUGUCAAACUUCGUCGUGAUGGGGAUUGAUUAUUGAAAUUCUUGAUCAUCAACGAGGAAUUCCUAGUAAGCGCAAGUCAGCAGCUUGCGUUGAUUACGUCCCUGCCCUUUGUACACACCGCCCGUCGCUACUACCGAUGGGUGAUCCGGUGAAUGAUUCGGACUUCAGCGGCUCCUCUGGGGUGCGCCGGAGAAAGUUUUGUGAACCUUAUCACUUGGAGGAAGGAGAAGUCGUAACA
rnacentral:rRNA from 1 species